GGCCACCGGGUUUGGCGUUGGAGAAACAGGGGUCGGUGCCGGCGUUGGUGUCACAGGCGUCUGUGUUGGCGGCAUCACGGGUGUAGGUGUUGGGGCCACCGGUGUUGGUGUUGGAGAGAGAGCAGGUGGUACCGGCGCCGGAGUUAUAGGGGUUGGUAUUGGAGGCAUCAUAGGGGGAGGUGCCGAUGUUGGAGUUACAGAGGUCGGUAUGGGCGUGGGUGCCGGAGUGUUUGUAGGUGGAGGGAUGAAGACAGUCGGGGUCGGUGCCGGCGUCGGAGUCACCGGGGUGAGUGUGGGUGUUGGUGAGGGCAUGGGAGUUUUUGAAGGUGGAGGGCAGGGUAUGGACGAUGGUGAAGACUUGUGCUUACACGGUGGAGGCUGGGAAGGCUUUGUCGGCGGGCAUGAUCGGCACGACGCGGACUGCGCGAGAUGCACGUCUAAGGAGAGCAGCGCCACCAGCAAGAACGCCGCAAUGCGGGCCAUGCUCUUGGAGCUUAAGGUCUUGGUGUUGGUAUAGCUUUCUUGCUCUUGACUAACAGAAUGCCUUGGUAUGGGCGUGCUUAUAUAGGCGUGCCGUGUACUGUCUUUUAUUUUUCUAUUGAAAUGGUGUACUUCCUUGGUCGACCUGACCAAGUGUGGAGCCCUCUUCCCCCGUGACGAUCUUUCCAGGAUUGCUGGACCUCUCCCACUUGCACACAUCUGGAUGAAAUUAACACACCUCAUCGUCCACGCUCAGGGACCAGCGCUCCACUAGUCUAUCUAUCUUCUAUUCUAUACCUAAUAUGUAUAACUACUACUCCCUCCGUUCCAAAAUAAACGUCUCAACUUUGUACUAACUUUAGUGCAAAAUUAUACUAGUGUUGAAACACUUGUUUUGAGAAGGAUGGAGUAAUAAAGUAAUAAUCUUCUUCCUCUCUGGCUGGUCAUGAUCAUCUUCUUCCUCUCUGUAUCUCUCUCAUGGUCGACGGUGGGGCUCGCCGGGGUGAGGUGCCUGCGACUCCGACCUGCUCCUACCUCUCUUCUCUUUCUCUCUCUAACUCUCCCUGUCUCCCCCUCUCUCUUCGUCGUAAUCUUCCUUUAUUAUGCACUAUAGGGUUAAUUCGGGAGGGAGCCUCCCCUAGACGAUACCUGGGACCCCGAUCGCCGCCACAACCACCGGUCUUCAUCUCCUAAAUUCGGCAUCUCCGAGCAACCGUACAACACCCCGACAAACAUGUCGUCUUUGCUAUGACCAUGCGAGCCUACUUCCCUCUUUCCCUGCUCGAUUUCGUGCCCGGACCCCCCUGCUCGGAGCCGCCUCCGUGAUCAAGCUCGACAUAAUCGGUUGUACGGCGGCCCGCUUACAUCUGCUGCGCCAGUCAGACUGGCGCGCGUUGUCUAGCUACCCCGCACCUCGCGCCCUCCGACCGCAGUCAUUCGGCCACCUACGGUGAGCCGACGGUGAGAUACCGGCGAGCACAUGAACUCAAGAUCGGGCUUGCGUUCCAGGUGUGGACCGGUGUUGACCUUGACUGUGGGCCCAUGGCCCACAUGUCAGGAAGAGAGAGGGUCUGAGAGAGAAGGUUUUAUUUUUACUUUUAUAAUUUUUGUUUGGCCCACUUGUAAGUGUGUGCGAGAGGGGUGAGAGAGAGUCUUUAUUCAUUUUUGUAGUUUGGCCCCACAAGUAAGUGAGUGAGAGAGGGGGUGAGAGAAAGAGUUUUUUCCUUUGAUUUUUCAUAGUGGGUCCCGCAUGUGAAUGACAUAAGGAGACAGGGGCAAUGAUGUCCCUAAAACGCCUAGUACACUCUCAAUGAGCUUUGGUCAGACGAAAACGACACAAAAGGGCAUUUCUAUAAGGGGAACUAACGACAGAGGGGAAAAUUUGAGUAAGCAUCAAAAUUAGGGGCAAAUCUGAGUAGUGGAUUCGAGUUAGGGGCACAAAUGUAAAUGUCCAUAUCUUUUAAACCGUAACUCCAAUUUUAUCAUGUUAUAUGUGGAAUUUGAUUAGAAAAAUGUGUAGAAUCUGAAUAUGAUGUAAUUUACAUGUCUACUAUUUUUAAAUGAUAUUUAUUGUUGAACUUUAAUCAAUACAGCACAAUUCGUCUUCAUUUUGGACGCGGAUCCGUAUUACAAGUUAACACACGGCACGCAAUGUUAUGUGAUGUUUGGCAAGGAGUGAGCUAGGUAAAUGAUUAUAGUGAGUCUAUUAUAAUCCAUCGUCUUGUUGUAUUUGCACCAGGUUCUCACUUUGUACAUAUACCAUGAUCUAACAACCAACGUAUGUAACUUUUCUUGGUGAAAUCCACGUGCGUACUUACCAAUGGACUGAACAUUUGUUUUUUAGUGAAUACACACACAAUUUUUUAACAGGAUGUACAUACACUUAAAAAAUUCAUGAACAUCGGAAGUGAAUGAAUGUUUAUUUUGAAAAUAUCCAAACAGUUCUUGUGAUAGUCAUAAACUUUAAUAUUGGAACCGAUAAGUAUGAUAUUAAUUUGUGUUCCAUCUGCUGCAUGUCACGGUGACACAUAAUUUAUAGAUCUGGCCUCCUCAGUGUUGAAUUGCACCACCCAGAUAUUGCAUGUUUGUGGUCGUAGGGUGCACGGUAUCAAUAUGAUGAAUCAGAAUAAAAAUUGAAUUGAAAUGAAAAUAGUUGCUCAGCUAAAAAAUGUUUACUCUCCCGUUUGCAACGCAUAGAAACCAUGCAUUUGUAAGAACUUUCUCUUGUAUUGAGCAUUCCGGAAUAUCCACACAAUGCUUUAUGCCACCUACACUUUCGGAUUGAACAAGUGUCGCGUCCACAACGACCUAGCUCAAGCCCACCGGAUUAUUCACACCACGCCUUAAACCACAGACACUUUGUAUUAGACAUGUGUGACGUCCUCACCGUCCUGGCUUUCAGAAAUAAAUAUCCAGUGGAACAUCUGAGCAUCGAUAUAAAAAUCACAUUGAUCACCCGUAACUCCAAGUGAACCCGAAUCGGCACAAGGAUACGAAAUCAGACAAUAACAAAUAACAACGAUGCACACACAAUGGUCAACCCUACAAAACGGGGGUUCGUCACGCACUUGCCUCGACUCAACUAUUAGACCGUAGAAUUGUCUCAACUCUUGAAACUCUCAAACCCAUUCGUAGAAAAUGAUUUAGAAGGCUAAUUCAAAUACUAAUCACUUAACAUAGUGUGUAUACCUAACCAUGUACUGGCAUCUUUCAUUUACUUGUAAACAUGGAUCCAUCAGUCCUUUUCUCAGAGUCUAGUUUAUGUACAUAACAUGCCAAAAGAAUUUCCAACCUACAGCUGCCUAAUUCUAUUCUUAUAGGCAGUUUGGCAGAUUGAUGCUUGUCCAACAAGGACAUCCGCAAUAUCCAUGGCACAAACAUCAAUCCGAAUGGUCCGAAUAAUUGUCCCAGUUAGAUAAGAAUCAAUCUGGCCAACUGCCUAUACGAAUAGAAUUAGCCAUCUGUAGGUUGGAAAUUAGUUCGGCCUCUUAUGUACAUAAAGAGAUAGAGACUGAUGGAUCCAUGUUUACAUGUAUAUGAAAGAUGCCAAUACACGGUUAGGCAUGAACACUGUUGUAAGUGAUUAGUAUUUGAAGUAGCCUUGUUUAUUAGUUUUAACGAAUAGGCUCGAGAGCUUCAAGAGUCGAGGAUAAUUCUGCGGUCUAAUAGUUGAUUUGAGAAAAGUGCAUGACGAACACCCGUUUUGUAUGGUUGACCAUUGUGUGUGCAUUCAUUGUUAAUUUUUAUUGUCUGAUUUCGUAUCCUUGCGCCCAUUCGGGUUCACGCGGACUGACUGAUGAUCAAUGUGAUUUUUAUAUGGAUGCUCGGAUGUUCCACUGGAUAUUUAUUUCUGAAAGCCAGGACGGUGAGGACGUCACACAUGUCCAAUCCGAAGUGUCGGUGGUAUAAGGCACUGUGUGAAUAAUCUGGUGGGCUUGAGCUAGGUCGGCGAGGACGCCACACAUGUUCAAUCUCAAAGUGUCGGUGGUAUAAAGCAUUGUGUGGACAUUCCAGAAUGCUCACUACAAGAGAAAGUUCUUACAAAUGCAUGGUUUCUUGUUGGGAUGGUUAUAGCCUUUCUAAGAUUGUGCUUUCAGAUAUAUUUUUGUGUUCCCAUCUGAAAUCAUGGAGUUCCUCAUUUACUGAUGUUCUAUAUUGUGCUUGCUGAGUAUUUUUGUACUCACUCUUGCAUACAUAUGGAUUUCCUGUACUAAAGGACACGGGUAGAAAACAGGGCUUUGGUCACAGCCCAAUAUACACAUUAGUCCCGGUUGCACUACGAACCGGGACUAAUGUGUUCGAGCGGCUAAAGGCAUUAGUCCCGGUUCAAAUGAGACCUUUAGUCCCGGUUUGAGACACGAACCGGGACUAAAGGCAUCGCACCCUUUAGUCCCGGUUCGUGUCUCAAACCGGGACUAAAGGGGUUCGUGUCUCAAACUCUACCCCCUGUGUAUCGCCAUUUCAGUAAAAAAAAAAGAAAAUGAUAAAAACUUCAAAAAAAUAAAAUCCUUCGAGAUGUAGUUAUAUUACUACAUCUACUAGUUAGGAAAAUUUAAAAACUUAAAUUUGGACAUGUUUUUCAAAAAAGUGUUAUGAAAAAGUAAAACGGCUAUAACUUUUGCAUACGACGUUGGAAAAAAAUGUAUAAUAUAUCAAAAUGUUCAGCACAAAAAUCCGCAUCCUGUAAAGUGUAUGGUUCAACAAGUAUCUUGGUAUGGGUUACAAGUGGAUGUGAAAACUUCUUUUACACAGUACGAACAUUUUAUUCAUAGUUCUUCAAAAAGAAAACACACACUACAAAACCGAUGGAAGACCACAAUUGGUAACAUGUUAUACGAUUACUAUUAUAUACGCUGUUACACAAACACAAUGUAUGCAUGCUCCACAGCUCCCUGUCACAAGUAGCGAGUCAGAGCUGCAAAUCCAUGUACAUAUAGAUUAUUACACUUCGAUAUGCAAGAGAAUUUAAUGCAUGUAUCGCAUUCAUAUGCAGGUGAUACUGAUAGUACAUAUAGUAAUCGAUGGAGCUUAAUUAGGGCAGCGGAAGUCUUUCGGCACUCUCUUGCCGCACUGGUUGACGAGCACCUCGAUGGCGAUGGGCAGCAAGAGGUUGAUGUUGAGGGCCUUGACCUUAAUGGUGGUGCAAAUGCAGAGAGCAGCGUCGAGGUCGGCAACGCCAGACAGCAGCGGGCAGCAUGUAUUGCUGGCGCUACUGCCGUUCACCGCGUGCAACAGCCCAUUGAACACGUCCACGCACGCAAGCAGCUUUAGUUUGUCCACGGGGCACUUACCGGUCGAUGUAGGCGGCACUGGGGCCGUGGCUGGGGGUGGCAUCGGAGUCACAGGGGUGGGGGCUGGCGGCAUCACGGGGGUCGCUGUUGGGNNNNNNNNNNNNNNNNNNNNNNNNNNNNNNNNNNNNNNNNNNNNNNNNNNNNNNNNNNNNNNNNNNNNNNNGUUGGAGAAACGGGGGUCGGUGCUGGCAUCGGAGUCACAGGGGUCGGUGUUGGCGGCAUCAUAGGAGUCGGUGUUGGGGCCACCGGGGUUGGCGUUGGAGAAAUGGGGGUCGGUGCUGGCAUCGGAGUCACCGAUGUUGGUGUUGGCGGCAUCACAGGGGCCGGUGUUGGGGUUCACCGGGGUUGGCGUUGGAGAGACAGGGGUUGGUGCUGGCGUCGGAACAACAUGGGUCGGUGUUGGGGCCACCGGACUUGGCGGUGGAGAGACAGGGGUCGAUUCCGGCGUCGGUGUUAGCGGCAUCACAGGGGUAGGUGUUGGGGCCACACCGGGUUUGGCGUUGGACAAACAGGGGUCGGUGCCGGCGUUGGUGUCACAGGCGUCUGUGUUGGCGGCAUCACGGGUGUAGAUGUUGGGGCCACCGGUGUUGGUGUUGGAGAGAGAGGAGCUGGUACCGGCGUCGGAGUUAUAGGCGUUGGUAUUGGAGGCAUCAUAGGGGUCGGUGCCGCUGUUGGAGUUAAAGAGGUCGGUAUGGGCGUGGGUGCCGUAGUGUUUGUAG
rnacentral:lncRNA from 1 species